rnacentral:rRNA from 1 species
UACGUAGGGGGCGAGCGUUGUCCGGAUUUAUUGGGCGUAAAGAGCUCGUAGGCGGUCUGUCGCGUCUGCUGUGAAAACUCAGGGCUUAACCCUGAGCUUGCAGUGGGUACGGGCAGACUAGAGUGCGGUAGGGGAGACUGGAAUUCUCGGUGUAGCGGUGAAAUGCGUAGAUAUCGAGAGGAACACCUGCGGCGAAGGCGGGUAGCUGGGCCGACACUGACGCUGAGGCGCGAAAGCCAGGGGAGCGAACGGG